UAACGACUCUCGGCAACGGAUAUCUCGGCUCUCGCAUCGAUGAAGAACGUAGCGAACUGCGAUACUUGGUGUGAAUUGCAGAAUCCCGUGAACCAUCGAGUCUUUGAACGCAAGUUGCGCCCGAAGCCAUUUGGCCGAGGGCACGUUUGCCUGGGUGUCACA
rnacentral:rRNA from 3 species